CCUUAUUUUUAGACCCAUUAUCUCCUAACCACCAUCCAAGUCAAUAUAUAUCUCCAACGUUAGAUGAGGCUGAGAUUAAAUCUCAGCGGUAUAAAAUACAAGAAACCUUCUAGAAUGAGAGGUUUCUUAGCGGUUAAAUGUUCAGUUUUCCUUCUUGAACAGUUUUGUUCCUUCUUUCUCUCCAACCCACGUUGAUGACAAUAACCACUCACUACCACGACAUAUGAUUUAUAUAUUAUCAUGUUUGUUCUACAUUUAUUUACAUGCGUAAGAAGAGAUUUUACCAUCAGACACAACCACCACCAAGGCGAUCAUCGCCACUUCUCAAUCUACCGUCGUUGCCGCUCUAUCGGUCGUCAACGCCUCCCAAUCAACCAUCACAACCGUCAAAUCCACCAUCUCCUAACCACCACCGGUAUGCCGUCCCCCAUUGUUUGGUUUAUGAUUCUCCGGAAGCUAAUUUUGAUCCAGAAGUUAUAAGUGAAGCGGCUCAGAUCCUAUAUUUUAAAAUUCAUUUUUUUAAAUUAUAGUGUUGCUUGUGUUUUUGUCAUAGAAGAGUGUGUGGACUGUGUUAAUGGGGAUAAACUUGGCUUAUGUUGAUUUUUUUUUACAGAUCCUAUAUUUUAAACCCUCAACAGAGUAUGCCAAGUUAAAAGAGUAAUCACUUGAAAGUGAAUUUGGAAAUGCACCUACUUUUAGAUCCAAACGUCUAUCAUUGUAUUUGUAUUUACUGAUCCAAACGUCUCGCAUUGUACAGAGCAACAUAUAUUUCGUACGAGGUCGUCAAGCUUACUUUGGGACAUAUGUUUAUUCAUGACAUUAAAAAAAUCAUUCGGAAAAGGUAAAUAAUUAAUCCAAGUGUUGCAUUUGUCAGUAAUAUAACUACCCACGUGUUAUUCUAAAUGAUGCAGUUUUGUAAUACCCUUAUCCAGUUGGUGGUCCUUUUUAUAUCAAGAUAAGUCCUCAUCUGUUAUGUUGAUUUACAUGCCUUGCAAAAUGUAGAUACAUUUAAUUAACUUGAAACAAACAUCUACUUAAUGAACUUGCUAAAUUACAGGCACAUAUCUUAAACUACAACAUUUUCAAGAAUUUUGAUUUUAUUGCUUUAGAAUUUAGAAUUCUUACAAGUUACUAAACCGAUGUCUGUCAGGGUCAAAUACCCCCAUUUUCAAUCAAGGUUGCCAUUCGUUCUAUUGAAUCUUAGUCCAGCUCAGAAAUUUUUGCAGACAUUAGUGCAGCGCCUGUUGCUUCAACAUCUUUAGGACAAGAAUAUAAAGUCAAAUAGGUGAUAGAGGAGCUAGGUUUGACGAAUGAUCAUACAAUAAAUGGUUAUGUAAUGAAAUGGAACGGAAUGGAUGGGCAUUGCCAAAAUCAAAUGUACUAGCAUGAAGAGCUGUUGCUGGGAGACUUCCCAAAAGGUGGAACUGAGCAAACGAGGUAUUCAGGUUGGGAACACAUUUUGUUCGUCAUGCAGAUACAUUCCAGAGACGGUAGAUCAUAAUUCUAGGAACUUCUUCGAUCAAUAUAGAGAUAUGAGACUAGACAUCAACAACAUGAGUUAUGAGGAAAGGAUAGGGAAUGUUAGCACGGUUUUUCCCGAGGAUAACAUGUCCAAGUAUUUAAUGAAGAAAAAUCAUUGUCCUGACGAAAACCAUGGGGAGGUUUCUUGUCCCAUAUGCCUUAUAAGGAAGAGUAAAAUAAUGGGGAUAACUGGAUAAGACUGGGAAGAUGUGGAAAUAUGGACAAGGUUAUCAUGUGAACUGCAUCAAGAAGAGGCUAUUGAUGAAGAUAUUUUGUCUAAUCUGCAAAACUGAAUGCUCAAGUUAAGAACCCACUCAACAGUUUGGUUGCUUUUUAAGGUGUAAAUACAAGAUAUGAAUAUUAUUCUAAAUUCAUUAACUUGUACGAGUUAAAAUUUCUCUAAAUUCAUUAUAUAUGUAUGCUCCAAGUUUUAUAGGAGUGACCCACUUUAA